GACUGAUCCCAUGCCAGGAAGUAUGGGGGAGAGACCCUUGAGGAGCUGGGGGAUGCAAUUCCCUCAUCACAAUAUUUUAAAACCCAUACUUCCAAACCUUUUGAAGGGAGAUUUCAUGGAAGAAAUGCGUUUGAGAAACAGCUGAAUGGGAGUGUGGAAGGGAAGUAAAAAAGAGAAAAUGGAUAGAAGAAAGGAUCAAAAACCAGGACCUGACAACAUGAUGUUUACAAGAAACAAACUGAAAAUGAGAGUGAAGGUGAGGAGCUGGAGCAGAAUAUACUAUACCGCAGCUGAUCCAGAAAAGGAAAAUGAAUGUUGGAGCCAGAUAAGAAACUAUAGGCUGCUUUCAAGAAGGUUACAAGAAAACUGCAUCUUGCAUUACUAAUCCUUUAUCUUCAUGUUAACAAAAAGAUUACUGACACAUUUUUGAAUGAAAGAAAAUAAAAUAGCAAAUGCAUCUUAGAAAAUGUUUAAC
rnacentral:lncRNA from 1 species